CUUCCCGUAGUGCUCCCCACAAGCAGCUGGGGGGCUGUGGGUGGCUCCUCCAAGUUCACGCGUCGCCCACUUCUGAAGAGCGUGUGUGACCUCCGCCCCUUGACUUCCCUUCUGGUGGAUUCCAGCCGGGCGCUCCCCUCCCCCCGCUUCCCCGUCCGCGCUGUCCCUGUGCCACCGUCCUGGGUCGUUUCUGCUCAAGCCGCCCUCAGCGUUCGUUACCAGAACUGCCCACGACCUGGUCACCUGGUCGCAGCGGCUGCCUUUCCGUCUCGCUGCCCCUGCGUGUCGUGCUGUUUCUCUGGCUGAGGUUCGCCGUGUCUGAAGCUUGCGGCGCCUCCCGCGUGUCCCGGAGGCGUCAGCACACCCUCACCCGCGGUCCCCCACCCUGGGUGGUCUCCGUCCGACUCUGUCUCAGACCAGUGGAGACUUCUCAGUGUAGUUAGGCGUCUGUUAAAGUUUCGCUCCCAUCUCGUACGCUAGGGGAGGGGCCCCAGGAGGCCCGUUCAGAAGCUCGUUUUGGGGAAGGGGCGUCCUGUAGGAAAACACGGAGGUUGGAUCGUGGUCACUAGGCUGAAUAAGGAGAAACGCUGGGCAGAGGUCCUGCCAGUCAGCUGCCAGGUAAGUCACUGUUUUUCCAGAAAACUCCUUACGCAUGUCAGGGUGACAUCUCGCCCCAGGAGGAGAUCAUGAAGUAUAGCAGGCACAAACCCGAUUUAGGCCACAUUUUUAUUUUCUAGUCCGUAUCCGACGUGCUCAGGAAGGCCCAUCCUGCUGCUUUUGACUCUCAGAACGUAAAGGAAGGUGCGCUCGUCCAGUGCUCCCCACACGACUGCACACAGGGCCCCUGGGUCUGCCACGCCGGCACGGGGCGGCAGGUCGGGGGAGGCCGGGGACUCUGCGUUGUCCUCCAGCGCCCAGCUGGUGCCGGUGCUCUCGUCUGGGGACCACACUCUGAGGCCUGAAGGGGACGCCGUCCACCCUCAGCUGCAGCUUAGUUAUGUGACACUGCCUGCUCCUUACUAGGGUGCAGACUUGUCCGGAAGAGGGGUCUCUCCCAGGUGGUGACCCCGCCUGGGGAGGGGAGCUGUGAAAUCGAACCUUUGGGAGGCUCCGCUUUUAGGCAGAUAAGGGGAGUUCAGAAAACACACCACAAUAGAAACUCCCGUUCUGGAACCCUCCACUGGACUGCCUUUUCAUCUCAGAAUCAAGGAGAUCACCCCCCCCACCCCUGCUCCCAAGGAAGGAGAGAUUGGAGUGACUCAGGCCUGCUCUGGAGCCAGGACAGAGCGUGCUCCAGCCUCCGCCGCCAUCCUGGCCCGUGACGCCUGGCCGCCCCGUGAACGCCGUGUCCCGCCAGCGGUCCUGGGUCCCACUGUGCACAGGAGCGGCGGCUCGUGCCUCACCCGCAGGCGCUCACGUAUCCCCCAGGCCGCAGUUCACCACCAGGGAGUCAGUCGAUUAUGUAGUGGAGGAGAACAGUGGCUCUCUCUGGAGCUCUAAUGACUUCAGGUCCUGGGGUUGGAUGAGGACUCAUUUAUUCAGCCCCCCGAGCCGAAGACCCACAGGGAGGAAAGAUGCCGAAAAAAACCACCUUCCACCGAAGGACCACUUAACCCAUUAGACGCAGCUCAGCGCUUCGCUUGACCUCAUUUACUCAGAACGAGUUUCUGAGGCUGAGAUCAUUUUUUUUAACUUUACAGGUAGAGGGCCAGGGCACGGGGACAGUCACUACCAGAGACCCACAGCUAGUGACUGCUGGGAUUGGGACGUGGGCCAUACCUAACUCUCAGCCACUAAAAGUGAAAAAACAUCUCAUUCAGCUGGUUUUAAGCUAACAAAACAUAAAAACAUUAAAGUGUUUUAAGUACAAAGUUUAUAUUUCCAUUCCCUGUUAUGCCAGUUAAUGAAGACAAGGAGAGAGAAAGGGACAUUGACAGAGGCCAGAGAGAGAAGAGACCAGAGCCUCCCCGAGGCCCGCACGGAGGUCGCGAGGGUCGGUGGUGACCUCUCACUGAGGGGCCUGGACGAGUCUCAGUGACUUAAAGGUGCUGUUUUUGACUUUCUUGCUAACCACGUGUUGUGGUUAUUGUACAGUGUUUUUAAAGAUUUUACACGUGUGAGCGGUUGAGUUUUCAAGCUUAACUUUGGAGCAUUCCAGCUCUGUCAGCGACACCUAAAAGUCCCUUUGACAAAGAAUCUUUGCUGAUAGGCUUCAUGCCACAGUCUCUGAAUGUGACAGUUUGGGGUUCACAUCAUUGUUUUCAGUUCCCUUCGCCCCACACACUCCCACUUGCAUGCGCACACAGGGAAAUGAAAUAAAACAGGGCCAGCUUUAUAAGAUUAUUGUAGAAUAUUGUCAUUUCACGUUCCAAGUGAUUUUUAAAACCGUGGUCAUCCCAAGAAGAAAAUUCUGGUGACACGGAUGGAUGUUUAGUUAGAUUUUUAACUGCCUCCCUCUGUCAGAGUUACCUGACACUACCUGUUCAAAGGUAUUUUCUACUCUCUGUAGCAUUUAGUUUUUAUACCUGGCAUUGGAAGCAGAUACUGUUCCCCGUAUUCUAAAAGUGACAAAAUGACCCAUAAGUACCCAGAACCUACUGUUAAAGGACAAAAUUCGGCAGCGUAAAUUUGAAGGUCCGAUGGGCUUUGUCACGCUAUACAUGAAUGGAGCAGCACCCCGCCCCCCCCGUACUCCCCAGCACCUGAGGGGAGCGCCAGGGGUUGUACCUAAGGAAGGUUUCAUCGGCAGAGGGUAGGGAAGGGACUUGUUAGCAAAAGAAAAGAAUUAUUUUUAGGCCAGCUCCUCUUUUGGGGGGCAGGAAACGGCAGGGUUCUUAUCCGGCAGAUCACCUCAUUAGUACUGGUCAGGAAAUUCCAGGUUGGUUGGUUUAAAAUUCCACUCCUGGGAGGGGCUGCCACCGCGUGAGGUUAGUUACUGAGUGUGGGUUCCAUGACAUGGCUUAGCGAAAGCGACUGUGUUUCAGCCUGUUCCUUGUCUUACCACUGAUUUCCAGCCGUCAGAGUCCCCAGUUCCACUGCCGUUCACAGGCCCUUACCCACUACCUUAACUAAGUGCAUAAAAUGCCGAUGUCCUGACGUGCGGCGUCGUGACUCAUCGUGAUUUGUCGGCUCGCGGAUAUUUUCCUUGGAAGACCCUGUGCUGCCGCUGCGUGCUUCCUGCGCAGACUGCUUCGCCUCUGCCUCGCGUCACGUCACCCAGAGUCCAGGAGUGGACUUGUAUUCCUUGGUUUUCGCCCAGGAACAGCCUUUAUCUUCCGAGGAAUGCACGAGAGGACUUCCUGUCCGAGAACAUGGAGCCCUGAGCCAGGCUUGCCCGCCGCAGUAAUUAGACCCGUGGACUGAGCGCCCGGAGGAAAUACCCUUUAGUUGGCAGACUGUGGGGAGAGGAAGUGGCCUGUGUCUCAGAACUAUGAGGAACACAAUUGUUCCAGUGGGAGACAGUCCUCGGUCACCCUCCAGAGCCUCGGUCUUGCAGCCAUCAGUUAUGGAAGCGGCUCCAGGAACAGCCACUUGCCCCCGGUGCUGACAGCGCGUGGGGGGCCAGCCAGGAGGCUGUGCGCGCCGGGACCCUCGCCGCAGGCAGCCCUUCGCCCUCCCAGAGCGAGGCCGGAUGCACCUUUGAUAUUUAAUGCUCAAAAUUAGCCCCAAAGGGAAGCAACCAGAGAUAAAAAGGGGAAAUUGAUUAAACGAGUUACGGUUCAGGGGAAGGAGCUUAUCACAUUUUGAUGAAUGAGGGGAAAAAAAACAGGUUUCAACAUACUGGAUGCUUUCAUUUCUACAAAGUCCAAAAACAGGCAAAAGUAGUUCUUUUGUGACGGAUAAGAAAACUGGUUAUUUGGGGGGUGGGACGUGGGUGGGGCAGGAGUAAGGGAGCUUUGGGGACAGCUCCUUAUCUUAAUCCACAGGGUGAUCAUUGGGUGUCUGCAUAUGUAAAAACACCUAAAGUGUGCGCUUUUUACUAUGUGUAAAUUAUACUUCAAUAAAAAGGAGAACAUUGCGUAUCUACUGCAUGACUUCACUUUCAGAGUUCAUGCACAGGGAAGCUGGGCUAUGAUGUGGGUGUCAGGCGGGGUUUCCCUUUGGGGAGGGAUGGCAGGGAAUAGGCUAAGGGGACUUCUGGGGGCAGUCGUAUCAGAGUUCUUAGUCGGUGCGGUCACACGGGGCACUCUGCGGCAGUCCAGCCGUAUGCUGGAUUCACGAUUUCCUGUUUGGAUGCUAUGCUUCAGUAAGAGACUAUUUAAAAUAUUACAUACGGUAUGAUCCUGGAUUUUUGGUUGAAAAUAUAUAUGCAAGGAAAAAGAGCAGGAAAGGCAUUGUAUCAGUUUCCUGUGGCCGCUGUAAGAAAAUACCACAGACUUAGUGGCCUAAAAAUACAGUCUACCAGCCAGGACAGUCCUGAGCAGCUGAGCGUGUACCUGACCCCUUAACGUCCCAAAAGAUGGAUUAAAAAGCACGUAAGCCUCCAGCCUGCCGUCACCACCCUCGGAAGCUCUUCCACUCCUUUGAGACACGCAGUGUGAUCUUAGCCAGGAAAACAGCAUUUCUGCUUAAACUUUUAAUUGAACUUUAAAGUUUAAAUUUUGAAAUAGAAGGAUGCUUUACUAUGGCAUUUUAAAAAUAUGUGAAACCAACGAGUUACGUUUUGGGAAGGAGGCGUGGGCACCUCGUCAGGAUACUUGCCCAGCGGGGUUUCCUGGUCACCUGCCCGGUGUGUCAGGCAGCGCUGCUCUGCCCGCGGCCACGGCGUGAGGGGCUAGUGCUGGCUUCUUCCAUCUCGUCCCCUCGCCUUCCCUGCCAGCCCUCCUCUUGGGCACUUUCUGGGUCACAAACUGAACGUACCCCAAAACACAUCUGCUGCAGCAUACUGGUUAAGGAAUGAGCUAGAAGGAAAAGAUCUUCCAGGUGCAAGACGUGCCAGCCAAGGUCUACCCUACCUCCAGCUUGUGCAGCUGGCAGCGGAGCAGCCUGGGGACACGUUGCUGACUUGCUAACCUACGUCCAGAUCGACCUUGGACACUGACACACAGCUGCCUCGUAGGAGAAGCGCGGACUCUAUGUGGCGAAACAAACCAGAAAGAAGUGUGAUUGGAUCGGCUGUUUUUACUCCUCCCCGCCAGAAGCCGAAAGGCCUCGGGUCAUCCUUGGCCGUCCCAGAUCUCCUCGGGUGAGCGCCGUGCUUCCCAGGGCAUGUCGCAUUUUCGAGCAAAGGAGUGAGGAGAUUGAAGAGGAUUCUGCCAGCAGCGUGAAGCGUGCCCUGGACGGGGGAAGAUUUUGGGGCAGAGAAAUUCAGAUAUGGGGAGCUUCGCCUCUCCAGACGGAGUGAAAUAUUUUAAAAAUAUCUAAGGCCGGGUGAUAACUUUUGCAGAUCUGGCUUCUUGGCCCGAAGUGUCCCCAGGUUGGGAAUGGUGCCGUGGUACCAGCUCAGGGCCACUGGCUGACUGCCAGAGCUCAGUUAGGAAAUUGUGCCUGUAGGGUAACCUACAUUUUCCGUAAUUUCCCUGCUGGAAACUUCGCCAGAUGGCCUAUGCCAGGAGAAUCUGUCGUGCCCUGCAAGGCUGUCUUUUACUCUUCGUCACCAAAUGAGAAAGUGGUCUCUUCCUAACAUGUCCCUGACUGACCAAAGUGUGAAGCACAAGUGCCAGGGUGGAUAGGGCCACCGAAGAGUCCAGAGAGUAAGAAGUAAGGGCUCCCGGCACAGCCUUAGAUGCUUAACUGACCCUGACGCUUCGUGAAGUUCAAAGGCAUGGUUCAGACCGAUCUCCUGUUUCUUUUGCUGCCGUGGGGAAAACGUUGGGCCGAAAUUUCGGCUAAGACUAUCACUUGCCUCCUGAGGUCUUUCCUUCAAGGACCCCCAGUCCUCUUAGUGUCACCGACUUCCCACGCUUUCCUCGAGAUGACUCCUAAUGUUGCACUAAGAGCUGUGAAGAACAUGUGGCCAGAGGGGCCAGUAAUAGUGUCCCCAGCUUGGGUCAGCCCUGUUGGGGAAGAUGUAUCAGUGCCCAGGCAGGCGUGAGUGAGCCGUUGAUAUCGCAUCCCGAUGUCAGCCAGAGGCGGACACAUGCAACGGCAGCUUCAGAAUCAGGCUCCAACAGGGACUCAGCUGAGCAGCCCGAAGGAACCAGCGUCUUGCUGUGGAUGCCAGGACUUACGAAUCCUCGGUCUCCAUCCCUAGGCCACCUGAUAUGUGUGGACUUUACGUAACACCCGUCGAGGCUUCUAUCCACCGAGUGAGAUGCGACCACAGACAGGUGAAAUGUAAAUGCUCGUCAAGCUAGGGGCUCAUUCAAGGUGUUUCUGAGAGGUCUGCAGAGAGAGUCUGUCUGAGGAAGGCAGCAGGUGUGCCGUUGAAGGCAAGGGCAGCAGUGUCCUCUCUGCUCUCCCACCAUCCCGCCCUGUCCUCUGAUUGUCGUACACACAUUACUUCCGAGGAGGCAUCCUUCAAGGAAGGACAUUUGAUCCUUUUCAUCCUUUCUUCCUACUUGCUGGCUGGAGGUGGAGGACAUUGGAAUAAUGGCCAAGCAGCACGACAGAAGGGACCUAUGUCUCUGAUGACGAGAAGUGAGACCACCUGCAUCCACAUCGCUUAGCCGUCAGGACUAAGAUCUAAGACCUCCUGUGUUAACAUGACUUACUAUUUAUCUAGGAAACUCUUGUUCGGGAAGAUAAGACUGUAAACCAAUAAAUAACUUUACUGUUUGCUUCAGGGAAUUCAUAAAGAAUAAUUUCUGGCUCAUCUUGGCAAACAGUCUCCUUCUCAGGAUGACAGAUUGUUCACCUGGGCAAACAGUUCAUUUAUCAAAUAACUAUUUACUCAUCCAGGCUCGAAUCUUCAAGACUUGUGUCCGCUGGGCCUAAGCUACUACAUCACAAACCUGGCCCGGUUCUUCUUAGAUCUCAGCCUUGAGAUACCCACCUUGAACGCUGAGCAGAGACUUUCACACCCUGAAGGCUCCGCCUGGACCUCCUCCUACCAACAUGCCAAGUGACUUGGGGCUGGCUCUGGUCAAGGUGCUCUCGCCUACUGCAGUGGCUUUAAUCAUUUCAGCUUGGGUUCAUCACAGCUUUUUUCUGGUGGUCUUCUGGAAGAGUCGACAGUGGACAAUGACCAUGGGGGCGUCGUACCAGCCCUGGACUUCAUCCACAUGAGAGGGAUAGGACACUUUCAUCAUGACACUUUUACUUUGGGGUUUUGGUCACUGACGGCCGAACCUAAUCCCAGGACGCUUCUCCCCUGCCCCCCUCCAUCCCUCACUGGCCUUUAUGCCCUACACAGCGUGUGACACAUACUAAGAGGUCUGUCGCACACGUGUUAAAAGGAAGAGAACUCGAUCUUUUGCUUUAACUCAGUACUUUCUUGCAGAUUUUGGACACCUGCCAAUACAAUUGUUUUAAAACAAUUAAACAUACCAUAAUAUGUAUCUAAACAAGUGCUGUUUCCUUCAAAUUAUUCACCUUGGAAAUCUGUUCAUGUAUCUUGGUGAUAUUACUAUUGCUUGAGACAUAUUCAAAAACCUCUUUUGUAAUUACAUCUUGAUUUGCCAUCCUCAGUGGUGACAAUCAUUUUCUGUGUGUGUGAUAAAUGUUUUAUUAUGGAUACUUUCAAAUAUAAACAUAAGCGGUCAGAAUAAUAAAAUGCACAAUUAUCAACUUAGGCUCAAUUUUAUUUCAUCUAGGCCCUUACUCUUCCCUUUCUCCAUCUGCAUUAUUUUGAAGCCAAUCCAGACAUCACAUCAUUUCACCCAAAAAUAUUUUAGCUGUCCUAAAAGAUAAAGCUUCUUCAAAAAAUAUUAGCCAUAAUGCUGUUAUAUCACCUAAAAAAUUAAUAGUAAUUUCAAUUAAUAUCAUUAUGUGCUCAGUGUUUAAACUUCACCGUUUGAUGAAAAAAAUUACUAUUUUAUUUGUUAGAAUCAAAAUAGAAAUAAAGUUCAUAUAUUGCAA